CUCUGCUGCAAAAGGUGGCAGCGCUUAAUUGAACUUGUCUGGGUUCAAAAGCUAAGCAGGGUCAGACCUGGCUAGUACAUGGAUGGGAGACUAUCAGGAAAUUUCAGGGCUGUAGAUU
ensembl:rRNA 5S_rRNA 5S ribosomal RNA